AUCAGCAAAAUGUUGGUGUAACUCACAGAUUCUGCGCAAGCUCCUCGGGAGGCACAUAUUUUCCAGGCCAGUUCUCUGAUCUAUGUAUUGAUAAGGUGGAAGUUGCUGGUGACCCAAAAGUAGCAGGGAUGAUUCUGGUUGCCAGAUGGGCUUAUCUUUACUCACUUCAAGGAUACCGUCACCCAGCCAGGAUUUGUCUUACCAUGAGGAUCAGUUCUUGUGUCUUGGACUUAGAAGUUGAGUCCCAUGAAUGAAAAUAAACAACAACGUAUUUCUGAAUUGGAGCAUCACACCAAGGAGUAUCAUUAACAAACAAAAGAAAACAAAACAAAGAGGAGGAUCCUGUAACAGCACCUUCCUAGCUUUGCCACAGUUUUCUUUGAAUUUCUGGCAAGACAUUCUCCAGGAUUUUCUGCAGAUUCCCAGGCUGCUAUCUGCCUUUCAAGUCAUGGUGAACAUCUGUAGAUGCAUCACCUCCGUGGGGAGCCUCUCUCUAGCUAGCUAGACUAUGAGUUAUUUAAGGGUAGAAUCUAGUUCUGAUUCAUUUUUGUCCCCUCCCAACUUGCAUAUAUAGCUUAAUUUAAUGUGGUGUUUGGAAAAAAU